rnacentral:lncRNA from 1 species
CCAGUUUAUUAGUAGCCACCAUAGAGAUGUUCAGGACCAGUGUAUUAUUAGCCACCAUAGAGAUGUUCAGGACCAGUUUAUUAGUAGCCAACAUAGAGGUUCAGGACCAGUGUAUUAGUAGCCACCAUAGAGAUGUUCAGGACCAGUUUUUUACUAGACACCAUAGAGAUGUUCAGGACCAGUUUAUUACUAGCCAUCAUAGAGAUGUUCAGGACCAGUUUAUUACUAGCCCUCAUAGAGCUGUUCAGGACCAGUUUAUUACUAGCCACCAUAGAGAUGUUCAGGACCAGUUUAUUACUAGCCAACAUAGAGAUGUUCAGGACCAGUGUAUUAGUAGCCACCAUAGAGAUGUUCAGGACUAGUUUAUUACUAGCCAACAUAGAGAUGUUCAGGAUCAGUUUAUUACUAGCCACCAUAGAGAUGUUAAGGACCAGUUUAUUACUUGCCAUCAUAGAGGUUCAGGACCAGUUUAUUACUAGCCACCAUAGAGAUGUUCAAGACCAGUUUAUUACUUGCCAACAUAGAGGUUCAGGACCAGUUUAUUACUAGACCCCAUAGAGAUGUUCAGGACCAGUUUAUUACUAGCCACCAUAGAGAUGUUCAGGACCAGUUUAUUACUAGCCAACAUAGAGAUGUUCAGGACCAGUUUAUUACUAGCCCCCAUAGAGAUGUUCAGGACCAGUUUAUUACUAGCCAACAUAGAGAUGUUCAGGACCAGUGUAUUACUUGCCACCAUAGAGAUGUUCAGGACCAGUUUAUUACUAGCCAACAUAGAGAUGUUCAGGACCAGUUUAUUACUAGCCAACAUAGAGAUGUUCAGGACCAGUUUAUU